AUUUGUUGUUUCCAAAGGCAGUUAAAAGGUGCACUGCAAGAGCCUGCUUUGCAGAGCAGAGGGAGGAGAGCACAAGCUCUUUGACCAGGAGCUGUUGGGAGGUGUUGGCAUUAAUCCCCAGAUGAGGUCAGCAGGAGAGCUGCAGCAGAGAUGCCUGGAGAAUAUCAAGCUGCUUAUCUCAGCCACAGCUCACUCUGUCUGUGGUACAGGAAAGGUCACGCUUGUGGCUACUGCACUAGGCUUCCUUCAGACCCUGUCCAGCAGCUGCAAAUGAAUAUGGAAGGAAAGAAGAAAUGAAACCUGAAGGCAGGAGUGAAAAGCAGGGGAAUGCAGCCAUGACGUGUUAUUGCACUGAGAGCAUACAUGUUUGCCAAAUACAUCCUGCUCCUUUUCCCCUAGUAGAUAACCCACACAAAAAACAAGCCUUUGCUCUUGCUGCCAGCUGAUGAGGUUAUUCCUUUGGUUCUCACUGACAGGUCCUGCAGUUCCUGGAAUCCUUCCUUGCCUGCAUUCCUCUGCCAGGGCUGUUACGAUGGCUGUAAGCUUUCCUCAUGCCCGCACUUUCCCUUAAAAAUAGCAAGGCUGGUCAGAAAGAGACAAAAAUGAGGAGGAAAGAUGACAGCUUUGUCACUUCUGCUUCCUUGGUAAUGGUCUGUAAACUUUCUUACAGGGGGUUGAGCAACCUGGGGAUCUCGAGGACAAAGAUUCAUGAAGUCCUUCACACUGACUGUGUGCUCUGCUACCCUUUUGCAGGGCAAGGACACCCUCCUUUCAUACUGACACAGCACUGUAAAGCUUUGUAUUUGCUCACUCCAUUACUUAGUGUAUUCAGAAUAUGCCUUUCCUAAUAAAUAGAGAAAAAAGGAAUUAAUUUUCUGUCUGCUUAGUCUAUAGAUGACACUUUCAACAGUGCCUCUCUCAACAAAGCCAUUUUUACAUAGUAGAAAAUACCAGGGGCCUCCUGGUACCUUCUCUUUCAUCUGAUAUAAUACAUCUUUAUUUCAUAAUAUCAUGUCACAGCAGCUGUAUUUUCAAUGCCAGUUUAAAGGGUACUUACACCAUAUUACUAACGAUAAUACAAAACCUUGGCACAUCUCUGUAAACCUCCCCUGUAAUCUCAAGUAUUUUCCUGUUCCCUCAUAAGACCUGAGGAAGAUCACAGCCUAAUGGGAAUACAUUAGUGUUUUGGACAUCUAUUUGCUUCUUUGUGUUGCAUUAGAGUACAAACAGCAGAGUUAAGCUGCGAGCAGGGCAGAGCCUCCACGUUCUCUGAUCUGUAUGUUUUAACUGGGUCACUGAGUGAGAGCCAUUUGGAUGCUUCAUGCUCUGCAUCUUCCAAGUAAUUGCAGUUUAAGGAUUCAUUUUAAUGUUAAUUUUUCCCACUUAUAUGUUUGAAGCUGAGCUUGGAGUUAUGCAAAGAAGAGGCAUAUCUCAAUCUAUUUUGAAUCUGAAACCGUCAGUGUAAAACCAACCCUACAUUAUAGUCUUACACAUUAAAACUUUUUACAUGAUGCUUUUGAGGCAAGGAAAGACAAAGGACUCUGCCUUUUAAAAAUGGCAUUUACACAAAUGUCCCUUAAAUAGAAGGAAGUUCAUAAGUUUUCUGAAGAAGAACAAAAUAAGAUGCUGCUUCACAUAUCCGUGUCUUUGAAACACUGGCUGUUUCAAAGCAAGGAAAAGACUGGAUGCUUACACUGUUUUAUAUGACCCAUACAUCCCAUCCAGCUUCUCAAUUAAUUCAUUUCUUCUUUGUGAUGUCAUGGCUCCUAACAUCAGUCCUAUCCCCUCUGGACGCUAGGAUUGACAGGACCUUUAAGAAAAUGAAAACCAAGACAGGUUUUGUGAUGAGAUUUAAAGCUUAGUGUUGGGACUCCUGUGUCCUAUCUGCUCCUAUGCAGAAACUAGGAAGGAUUUCCAAAUGCAUGGACCUUUUGCUUCUGACCAGGUAAGUCUGCAAAACAAAUAAUUAAAAAGGUUGCUUAGGCAAAGCAGUGCCUGCCCGUCAUGACUGGCAUUACUGGCCCUUUAUUGAGAGAGCUGUGUUUGCCCUGAGAUGGCUCUAGGCUUCAGGUAGAUAGCUGGUACUCCAGCUGCCAGCCUAAUUGGUAUGGCUCUUCAAAGCCUUGUCCCUUCCCCUAACCCAAAAGGAGGGUGAGCAUCCAGCCCAGGGCUUCCUCCCCACGUUCUGCCUGCGUAAAAGGGAAAUAACAUCUAUGAGGAACUUUGUCGAACCUAACCUUCUGACUUCUCACAGCAACCAGCGCAAGUGUUUCAGGGGCUGUAUGUCCCCUCACUACAAGACUUGGAGGUCUCCAGACAGUCCUGAGGGCAAUGCAGUUCCAGCUUUGGCAGAGCUCUGGGGUAGUCUUUUGCUUGCAGAUGGUUAGUUUGUUUGCUUUGCAAUAACCCCUGUAAAUGUGUCAAAACCUGUAAAAGUCCAUCAGGGAGAACAGAGACUUCCCCAAAAGAAGAAAACAGGAACAAAUUCCAUCAACAAAGGGGUUUUGCUGUGUAAAUAAGCGCUUUGCUAGCUGGCCACCUGGAAAGGGUAGUCUCAGAUGCACUUGUCAGCAUGCUGGUGGAAGUGGCUCUGGAGGGAGUGGGACACCCUUAUGGAGCAGAACUAUCAAGGGGGGGCACUUCAACCAAAUCAAAACAUUUAUUCUGUACAGUCAGUGCCAUUCCAAAACUCCUGAUUGUACUCUGAAGUAUCUGCUGAAUUUUGGUGGCCCUCAGGCUGUAACUCUGAUCUCAGCUGACAGUCCUCUGAAAAUGCACAGAUAGAUGGAGAGAGGGGCAGCUCCAGAGAAGGUCAGUGUGGGAGGGGAGAGGCUGCCUUUUGAUUAAUCCGGAAUUCUUCUCACUUCCGAGCUGCUCUAUAUGAGCCUUUGCUGUGUUGUUAUGCAACCCGUACGCUGGCUCCCGUACAUGCAGAGCAAGUCCCCGGCACAGCACUCAUCAACUCUCUUCUGAAAUGACCUUAAGAUACUCGGAGGAUCCUCUCCUACUUUUGUGAACAAAGGGCUCAUAAUGAUAGGAAAUGUAAGAAAAUCCGUCCCUAACUCGCUGAACUAGAGCUAACAAAAUGAAAGGGUGUGGCGGAGUCAGGGCUGGCAUGUCCCAGUCCUCAGAAAAUUGAGGUUUAUUGUUUCCAGCCCUGGGAGCUCACAUUACAUCCCAGCAAAACCUAGCAGGGCUCUGUCAUUCAUCAGUCACUUUUAUGGCAUGACGGGAGUCUGCAAAAUUAGAAGCCAGUUAAACAAAUUAAAGAACUUAAUGGGAUCCUCCGACUGCGUCUUGCAAAAGGAAAGAGGAAAUGCCUUGGGAUAGCUUUUCCUCACAGGGAGGAUUGUGUGGGCCCUCAAAAGGUAACAACGGCAAGGUGGCCACUGGAGAGAGAAAAGCUUGCAAAGUUUUAUGAAGGAAAUUGGAAUGUGAUUCCUGUCAAGCCACCCCUCAUGAGCCCGUCUGUUCUCAUCAACAUUUUGAACCACGGGAUAUUUGGAAUAGAGUGAAAAUGCUGCGGCUGUGAGCUAUUUUUUCCCUCUCAUUUCAUUCUGCUUCUACUGUCCAGAGAGCAAAUCUUUUGGGAGGUGUCCAAGACCUCAGAGUCUGAGGAACUCUUUCUAGAAACUGAAUAUAAUAGUGCCACCAUUUUAGCUGACAGAUGUGGUUAUUUCAGUGACAAAACACUUGGGAACCUUCUAAUCCCCUUCUCAAAAAGCAAAAAAAAAAAAAGCCCUCAGUAUCGUUUCAUUCAUCACCCCAAAAUAUUUUGGUAUGUGGCCUUAGGAAAAAUGGCUCAUUUAAUAUCAUUUUUAUAAACUGUUAUUGAAUGGCCGGUGAUCCAUAGGCUAUUCUUUUCAUCAAGGUGUCACCCACUGUCAAGUCUGACUAAUAAGAGUUUAUAGACAAUCAGUGAGUAUAAGCAGUCUCAGUGACACGAAUACAAACUUUGCAGCUCAGCCUACUGCAGCUUAGCAUGGAUUAAUUUCCCAUGGCAGACAGCAGCCUCAUGCCAAAAAAGACUAGCCCCAUCUUUAGGAUUUUACUUUUCUUCACAACUGUCAGUCUAUUUAAAUGCAGAGAUAACUAGAAAUAGGCCCAAAUUACAAAGCGUGGAUCUUUGCAGCACUUCACUGAAAUUGGGCUGUAGCCGAGUCCUCCUUCAGGCUCCUCUCCAGUCCUUUCCCUUAUAAAACCAUUCAGCACAAGCUUUGUAUGUUUUUACCCUUUUUAUCAACAGAUGUGGUUAAGCAGUAGUUACAUAAAUGAUGUUGACUCUGGUAAUGAUUUUUUUCUCUCCAUCUUCUCCCAAGGAAGGAUUAAGAGUACAGAGGUGUAUUGUGGUUUGAUGGAGUGGUUUGUUUGCUGUUAUUAUCCUUUUUGUUUACACUGGAGAGUGUUGGUCUUCUUGCGCUCAGAUGAUGACGAUAAGGGUCACAAAAAUCCUUGGGUCUUGUGGGGAAUCACUCAUUAUUCUUGAAGCAGCUUCCAGGGAAGUUCUGUCUCAGCGUACGUGACCUCUCAUCUACAAAAGAAAAGGUUGCCUUGUGCCUGAGGAGCAGAGCUGUGGCAUGAACUCAGUAAUAAGAUAUGCUGAGCCAUGGAGCAUCUCUGAAAGCCUUUAGACAGCCUGCAGAAAAAAACUAGGAAGGAUCUAGGAUGUGGCAGUGAGGUCAGAUGAACCUCAAACCAGGCCACUGAAUUUAAUGUGGUGCCCCAGGAAUGGAAGAAAAGGGCAGGUGUAAUGUGCUGGGAUGGCUCAGCUAGAGAGGACAGAAACCCUACGGAGAGGUGUUGCUAAGCAGGGUUAGUAACAGCGACCACGCUAGAUUUGCUCUCAAACUGUGGUUUAUUUUGAUUUCUACACCUUCCAGGCUCCAAACGCAGUCCGGAAAGCUUCCAGACUCCUACUGCAGGGAUCUUAAAAGUGUUUCAGCUGAACUGCAGAUGACUUUUGGCUUUGGGCUGGAGCCAUGGGAAAUUCUGCAAGCUCUCAACUAGGCAAAGCUCAGUAACUUGUUUUCUCAAUUGUUUAGCAAUAGAAACUCAAAGGUUACAAGUUCCUACUGACUGAAAAGAAAGCUGGAGUGCAAUCAGGAGAAAUCAGCUGAAACACAUGAAGGGAGUGGGAGCGGGCAUAAGAAAGCAAGAGAGACUCAUCUCCUUGGAGAGAGACUGAAAGGAGAAAGUCCUGUGGUUCCUGUUAGCAGGAGGAGCUGAAGAUCCUGAGCUCAUACAUGUGCACUCGCCUUCAGGAAAACUGAGAAAAUCACACAUAUGUCCCCCCAGAGCAUUUCAGACAAGCCCGGAGUUUGCAUUCAUAUGGAUAAAAGUUUCUUUAUAGGUGGUCAGGACUUUUAGUAAUGACAUCUUGAAUUUAGUCUGUGACGGUGACUGCUGCAUGAUGAGAUUUUUGCUUGAGGGAAGAAAGGAAGGAUCUGGUCUAUCCUGGAGAAGCGAAAAUAGAUUUUCUUCUCCUACGAGAAACUUGACAUAUCAGUGUUAACUACUUUGUGCAUAGCAUUUCAAUAAUUGUAUAAGAAAA